rnacentral:rRNA from 1 species
UACGAAGGGGGCUAGCGUUGCUCGGAAUCACUGGGCGUAAAGGGUGCGUAGGUGGCGCUGUAAGUCCGGGUGUGAAAUUUCGGAGCUUAACUCCGAAACUGCAUUCGAUACUGCGGUGCUUGAGGACUGGAGAGGAGACUGGAAUUCAUGGUGUAGCAGUGAAAUGCGUAGAGAUCAUGAGGAGACCAGUGGCGAAGGCGACUACCUGGCCUGUUCUUGACCGCUGGAGGCGCGAAAGCUAGGGGAGCAAACGGG